AAUAUUGUCAAAGGAAAAAAAGAAAAAGUUCAGACAAGUUUCUUAAAUAUCAUUAGAAGAGACAAGCACUUUUGAACAAUCAAAGAAGAAAUAACAACAUAUACAACAGUUGAGCUUAACUAUUCCUUCAAUAUUAGGACGUCAAAAAAGCAUGUUUGACUCUUUAAGGGGAAAAAAAAUCUUCCAGUUGAAGAAACCACAAUGUUCAUAAAAUGUGGUUAUUACCGUAGUUUUGAACCAUUUGAUUAAUUUGCCCUUAACUGAGAUAUUCACCUUUAUGCUGAUAAAACUUAUGAAACUUGAAUACCAAAGGGGGUCAAAGCAUGGCUAAGCUGAAUAUGGCAGUAUAUCAAGUGGAAAAAAAUAUUAAGUUCCAAAAUUUGCAAGAACUGAAGAGGCACUNAAGAUUAAAACNAGAAGCUCAUGCCUUAAAUCCAGGUGCACAAGCUAUACUAGAUGNCGUUAUUANAAUUAAACCCNUANAACCCAUUUUUAUAGUCACCCAUUUCGUGCGGAUCCCUCUUUUGAGAAACUCCUGCGCUGCUAAUAUUGGAUCUUCUAUGCCAGUUAAUGACUCGGCCUGUCAUGCAAAACAAUAAAAUCAAAGAUGACCUAAAUUAGAAAGCAGUUUGCCAAAGAACAAAUAGCAAAAACAAAAAGCAACUUAAUUUGC
rnacentral:lncRNA from 1 species